rnacentral:rRNA from 1 species
UACGAAGGGGGCUAGCGUUGUUCGGAAUCACUGGGCGUAAAGCGCUCGUAGGCGGAUCUUUAAGUCAGGGGUGAAAUCCCGAGGCUCAACCUCGGAACUGCCUUUGAUACUGGGGAUCUCGAGUCCGGGAGAGGUGAGUGGAACUGCGAGUGUAGAGGUGAAAUUCGUAGAUAUUCGCAAGAACACCAGUGGCGAAGGCGGCUCACUGGCCCGGAACUGACGCUGAGGAGCGAAAGCGUGGGGAGCAAACAGG